CCUGUUCCUGGGGGGACCUGGGCCCAGCAGGCACGCCAGGAGUCUCGCCCACAGCGGGAGAUAAACAACACUGCUAGGAAUAUAUUCUGAUUUGGUUAUCGCUUAAUGUACCAGUCGCCAAGCCCUGUAGAGAUGUUUAAGAGUAAUUUAUUGAAAAGAAGAAACUUGGUCGUUAAGCUUCUCAGUCGUCUGAAUUAAAGGGUUGUCUAAAAUGUGCCACACCAACCCCUGUUUGCCCCCCACCCCCCCCCCCCCCACCACUACCACUCCAUAAUCGCCCACGACAUUCGACUCUCCAUUCUAAUUCACCCUUUCAUGUCAACUUGCCACCCUGCCCAAAACAAUCAACCACGAUUGACCAUAUUGAACCAUUGGGGUGGGAAGGGGUUUAAAGAAAGACACUUUUGUUUCAAAGUUCUCCAUGGAUCUGCUGCAGUCUAUCUUGCUAACCUCUUGUUUUAGUUGAUUCUCUUUCCCCCGACCCUCUGCUCGAUCAACCGAAGACUUUCCGACUACAUCACUCGUCAACCUCAAAUCAUUGGGUGAGUUGUUCAUUCUCCACCGAUGUUCCUGACAUCAGCAACUUCCUCCUCCUUGACCUUCUUCUUUGGUAUGGAUUAAUAACAGCAGAUUAAAGAUGUAAUUUUGUAUUUGUUAUCCACUCAAUGUUUUGUUCACACGCAAAGUGGACAUCGUGCAUUCCUCCUUUAAAUGAGUGAAGACAGCAACGGGGUGUUUACGAUGCGGUCGAUGGUUUGCCAUUCGUGGCCACACUCGCAGACUGCCGAAUCUUUGAUGCGCCACUUGUGCAUCAGGUCGCCAUGUCUGCUUUGUUACUGCAUCCCUUGGCGCAAAUCCUUGCUCAAGAUGUUGAUCUUUUUUGGUCUUGAGUUUAUUUUGAUUCGUUACAUGGAUUAUAUUCAAGUUUAGCCGGUUGUCCGGCUAUUUUACAAAGGAGAUCCAUGCUGCGUGCUUUGUUUUGUCCGUCAUUCUUACUGCACUAUAACCAUAUCAUCAUUGUUGACGCGUGCCUCUCAAUGAACUUACCCUGCAACUAUAUAGUGUGCUGAGAUAUGACAUUUCGAGGCUAUAUAGAUUGUAAUAUUGUUUCAGUAUACUAUAUGUAAGAAGUGUUGUUCAAUCCGAGAGUUUUUCCAUGCAGCGAAUAACGUUUUUUAUUUCCUUGCUAGAUGACAUGGUCCACCUAUCAUGGUUGUGGUUUCACAUGUACAAGUCCGUUCACAAAUGUAUGAAGGACUCCCCACACCGUGACGUUCAUGGAGGAUGCUUUGACCGUACCUCACCACGCCGCCACUGGGCCUCGGCCUCAGUAAAUCGCCAUGGUGGUGGGAGGAGGAGGAGGAGCUCUUUAUGGAAUGAUAUUUUCCCUGCUCCUGUCUCUUUUCAUGAUGGGAUGUUUCCUCUUGCAGUGUAUUCUUCUCAAAAAGGAAAAGCAGGCAAGGCUGCGUUGGCUGGGUCAUAUAGCCCGCAUGCCCAGCCAC